rfam:Schistosoma haematobium scaffold451_21, whole genome shotgun sequence.
AUCCGGCUGAUGAGUCCCAAAUAGAACGAAACGUGCGUCCUAGAU